GGAGAGGUGGCCGAGUGGUUGAAGGCGCACGCUUGGAAAGCGUGUGUGCAGGCAACUGUACCGUGAGUUCGAAUCUCAUCCUCUCCGCCA
rnacentral:tRNA from 1 species